rnacentral:rRNA from 1 species
AUUGAACGCUGGCGGCAGGCCUAACACAUGCAAGUCGAGCGGGGUUUUCGGACCUAGCGGCGGACGGGUGAGUAACGCGUAGGAAGCUGCCCGAUAGAGGGGGAUACCAGUUGGAAACGACUGUUAAUACCGCAUAAUGUCUACGGACCAAAGUGUGGGACCUUCGGGCCACAUGCUAUCGGAUGCGCCUACGUGGGAUUAGCUAGUUGGUGAGGUAAUGGCUCACCGAGGCGACGAUCUCUAGCUGGUUUGAGAGGAUGAUCAGCCACACCGGACCGGAGACACGGUCCAGACUCCGAAGGGAGGCGGCAGUGGGGAAUAUUGGACAAUGGGCGCAAGCCUGAUCCAGCCAUGCCGCGUGUGUGAAGAAGGCCUUCGGGUUGUAAAGCACUUUCAGCGGGGAGGAAGGGGUUGUAGUUAAUAGCUGCAACCUUUGACGUUACUCGCAGAAGAAGCACCGGCUAACUCUGUGCCAGCCGCCGCGGUAAUAC